UACAGAGGUCUCAAGCGUUGUUCGGAUUUAUUGGGCGUAAAGCACAUGUAGGUGGUUUGGUGAGUCUUCCUUUAAAGCUCCAAGCUCAACUUGGAAUCUGGGGAAGAUACUAUCAAACUUGUGGUCAGCAGGGGCAAGCGGAAUUCCCGGUGUAGGAGUGAAAUCCGUUGAUAUCGGGAGGAACACCAAUGGCGAAGGCAGCUUGCUAGGUUGAUUCAGACACUGAGAUGUGAAAGCGUGGGGAGCGAACGGG
rnacentral:rRNA from 1 species